UAGUAAUUAGUUUAGAUAAAACAAAUGAUUUCGACUCAUUAGACUAUGAUUUAUUUCAUAAUUACUU
rnacentral:tRNA from 1 species